GAUGAACGCGGGCGGCGUGCCUAACACAUGCAAGUCGAACGAAGCUAUGAGACGGAAGCCUUCGGGUGGAAGACUGAUAGACUGAGUGGCGGACGGGUGAGUAACGCGUGGGCAACCUGCCCCAUACCGGGGGAUAGCAGUUGGAAACGACUGGUAAAACCGCAUAAGCGCACGGUAAGGCAUCUUACAGUGUGAAAAGCUCCGGUGGUAUGGGAUGGGCCCGCGUCUGAUUAGCCAGUUGGUGAGGUAACGGCUCACCAAAGCGACGAUCAGUAGCCGGCCUGAGAGGGCGGACGGCCACAUUGGGACUGAGACACGGCCCAGACUCCUACGGGAGGCAGCAGUGGGGGAUAUUGCACAAUGGAGGAAACUCUGAUGCAGCGACGCCGCGUGAGUGAAGAAGUAUUUUGGUAUGUAAAGCUCUAUCAGCAGGGAAGAAAGGCUCGCAAGAGAGAUGACGGUACCUGAGUAAGAAGCUCCGGCUAAAUACGUGCCAGCAGCCGCGGUAAUACGUAUGGAGCAAGCGUUAUCCGGAUUUACUGGGUGUAAAGGGAGCGCAGACGGGUAUGCAAGUCUGAAGUGAAACCCCACGGCUCAACCGUGGGCUUGCUUUGGAAACUGUAGAUCUAGAGUACUGGAGAGGUAAGCGGAAUUCCUGGUGUAGCGGUGAAAUGCGUAGAUAUCAGGAAGAACAUCGGCGGCGAAGGCGGCUUACUGGACAGCAACUGACGUUGAGGCUCGAAGGCGUGGGGAGCAAACAGG
rnacentral:rRNA from 1 species